CAAAAUGUAGCUUAAAUUAAAGCAUCCGACUUACACUCGGAAGAUUUCCACUACAAGAACAUUUUGA
rnacentral:tRNA from 1 species